UACAGAUUCAGUCAAAGAGAAUUUAGCCAAUAGAACAAUAAUUGCAGUAAAAUAUUAUGAUGAACUGUAGAGUAGAUAAAUGGUGUCGAAUUUCAGAGUGCAGCGCAGCUUCCAUGAUUUCCUGUCUUUUUCCCAUUCUUAAAUAGCACUCAUCUCGGUUUUCGGGUGACAGCGUUUUAUUUGUACGCGCGCAUCGCAUCGCGCCGCGGCGCACCGGUUAGCUGGUGAAUGAAGCUUGCCAUUCGGCUUGGAUGGACGCGUAUUAUUAAUAACUCCGUGGCACCGUUGCCGGUUUCGAGGAUAUUUUGGCAGCGCGCGGGCUAAUUUGUUGCAACGCGGUCUGGCAAUAAAAAAUGCCAGUUCGACAUCGCCUAGAAUUACCCGUUUUACGAUCCAGUAUACGCGUCCUGAUAAAAUUGAAACGAAUUCAAGGUGAAUGUUUCUAGGCAACGUGAACUUCUGGUCAAGUGAGCUAAUAAGUUUGCCAUAUAAUUAUCGCUCCAACCAAAGAACUGUCGAUUAAACCAACACAAAGAAUUGAUCGGAAGGAUGAGGGUUCACGAACGGGGCAACCGUAUCGAUACCUGGUUCGCGACGGGUGUCACUGAGAAUUUCGCGGAGAACCUCGCGGCGCGGCUGCAUCCGCGGAUUUCCACACCAGGCUGGCCAACUCUGCACCCAAUCUUUUACGCGUUUCCCCGACGCGUUCGGUGGACAGACGCCGGCAUUCGAGAGGAGACGCGAUUUCCUGUCAUCGAUCACUAGAGGCGAUCAUUUCGCAACGUCAGCUACGUUCGCAUAUUCUAAAGAUUUUAUGGAUUGAUUUAUUUUGACUGGUUAGAGAUGAGAGUGUUCUAUUAGGGAAGUAUUAGAACACUCUCAAUGAACAAGCAAUGCUGGAAAAAAAUUUUAAUGAGAAAGAAAGGCAAAGUUCAUGAAAAUAUGUACAUAUGUAUUUUGAUGUCAUUUAGAUGGAUAAAUGUGAUUAUAUA